AUGUUCGUUGCAUUCAACUUUAAAGCUACAAUUAUCCUAAGUGGCACCGCAAAGAUAGUACACUUGUACACACCAACAACCACAAAGAUCGUGGUUUCGCUAAAACAAACAUGUGGAUACCAUAACACAGACAAGAAACAAUCACCGAGACAAAGUAGAACUGAUUCAAACUUCAGAACACGAGAAGCUCCCAGUUUCAAAAAAAGAAAAGAACACGAGAAGCCAAUGAUCAACAGCAUACCCAGGUGGCAGUGUAAAACUGCCCAGCCUACAACAGGACAAUCUGGUUACAAAUUUUUCGAACAUGUGUAG
rnacentral:rRNA from 1 species